UGCCAGCCGCUGCGGUAAUACGGAGGGGGUUAGCGUUGUUCGGAAUUACUGGGCGUAAAGCGCACGUAGGCGGAUCAGAAAGUUAGGGGUGAAAUCCCGGGGCUCAACCCCGGAACUGCCUCUAAAACUCCUGGUCUUGAGUUCGAGAGAGGUGAGUGGAAUUCCGAGUGUAGAGGUGAAAUUCGUAGAUAUUCGGAAGAACACCAGUGGCGAAGGCGGCUUACUGGCACAUUUCUGACGCUGAGGUUCGAAAGCGUGGGGAGCGAACAGGAUUAGAUA
rnacentral:rRNA from 1 species